UACAGAGGGUGCGAGCGUUAUUCGGAAUUACUGGGCGUAAAGCGUGCGUAGACGGCUAUCUAAGUCGGGUGUGAAAGCCCCGGGCUCAACCUGGGAAUUGCAUUCGAGACUGAAUAGCUAGGGUGCGGUAGAGGGAAGCGGAAUUUCCGGUGUAGCGGUGAAAUGCGUAGAUAUCGGAAGGAACAUCAGUGGCGAAAGCGGCUUCCUGGACCAGCACCGACGUUCAGGCACGAAAGCGUGGGGAGCAAACAGG
rnacentral:rRNA from 1 species